rnacentral:rRNA from 1 species
CUUCCGUAGGUGAACCUGCGGAGGGAUC